ACCCUUGAUAAACGGUUGACUUUC
rnacentral:rasiRNA from 1 species